AUUUUUAUGUUUCCAGUCUUAUUUUUAAUAUUUCUAAAGUACGGAAAAUAUCAAACGAAGAGAUAACCAAGUUAAAGGAAAACAAUGAAGAAUUCCUAAUCAUACCGAUAGUAUUAAAGAAUGAAGUCUUCAAAAUUAACAGAAUAACCGAACUCCACUACCUACCCCAUAAUGCGAGGUUUACAGUAAUUAUUCAACUUACAUGAAGCAGUCAGAAAGUUUAUUGAGAUUUGAGAAAUAAAGUUACACUCAUAAGUAGCAAAACAGUGGAUGAAGAAGUGUGGGAUUAUGAGUGAUUAUUUCAUUCUAAAGCAGACAUAAUCAAGUCUUGCUCACUAUCAUGAAAAUUUACAAUAACAAUCAGCAAGAAAAACUUCAAGGGUACUGGCUAGGCUAACCAAUUCAUGGAAUUCUGUUUGUAUUUGAAAUUAUAAAUAGCUAUUGUAAAACAAAAGUUUUCCAAAUAAAGAUUUUGUAAAUAAUGGUUGAAUUAUUUUGAAAUUACACUGCAAUAAUGAAUUUAUUGCCUGCGUCCAGCGCCUUUCUGCUACCAUUAUGAUGUCGUCGGUCCACCUUGUGGGUGGACGUCCCACGCUGCGUAUUCCGGUACCCGGCCUCCACCCCAGAACCUUGCUGCCCCAUCGGGCAACAUGGAAAGCAUUGGGGGAGGCCUAAGUUCAGCAGUGGACGUCCUAUGGCUGAGAUGAUGAUGAAUUUAUUAUAAUGGAAUAAAUUGUACAAGAUUAUCAUCCUGUCACAUUAAAGCCCUUAAAAAAGACCACAUGGAGGAAUUAGAUUGAUAGUAAUGUGGAAUGUAUGUAUGGUAUCACCAUCAAGUUAUAAAAUUAGUAAAAUUCAUUUAUUCUCAUUGUUAUUAUAGCAAGUUUGAUUACACAUCCCACCCAAUGCUAAUUUCUGACAAUGACCUUGCCACUGUUUGAUGUAGACACAAGAAGCUCGGUCACCACAUUCCGCCCCAUUUUCAAUAAUUUUACAAGAUUAUGUACAGAUGACAGUAGGUACUUAAAUCAAGCUAAACACUGUGGGGUAUCUCACGACAUUUGCAACUUAAUAUGUAUUGUCUGAUGUACUGUUGACUGCCUACCUAAGUAGGUAAGUAAUGGUUAUUUUACAAGGUAGGUAAUGUAAUAAUUAAUAUGUGGGUGGGACUGUGGGAGCACUAAGAUUUUGCAGCUAGCGAUUAUAAACUGUCGCAAGAUUCGCCUCACACUGAUAAACUCUUGAACUAGAACUCAAUCUCCACCUAGAA